AGAGUUUGAUCAUGGCUCAGAAUCAACGCUGGCGGCGUGCCUAACACAUGCAAGUCGAACGCGAAAGGGGAGCAAUCCCUGAGUAGAGUGGCAAACGGGUGAGUAACACGUGGGUGACCUGCCUCAGAGUGGGGGAUAACGUCCCGAAAGGGACGCUAAUACCGCAUAACAUCCUGCCUUUGGAAAGGCGGAGAUCAAAGCCGGGGAUCGCAAGACCUGGCGCUUGGAGAGGGGCCCGCGUCUGAUUAGCUAGUUGGUAGGGUAAUGGCCUACCAAGGCAACGAUCAGUAUCCGGCCUGAGAGGGCGGACGGACACACUGGGACUGAGACACGGCCCAGACUCCUACGGGAGGCAGCAGUGGGGAAUUGUUCGCAAUGGGCGCAAGCCUGACGACGCAACGCCGCGUGGAGGAUGAAGAUCUUCGGGUCGUAAACUCCUGUCGAGCGGGAAGAACACUUUCCGGGUGAACAGCCCGGGGGAAUGACGGUACCGAGAGAAGAAGCCCCGGCUAACUCCGUGCCAGCAGCCGCGGUAAUUC
rnacentral:rRNA from 1 species